rnacentral:rRNA from 1 species
GAGUUUGAUCUUGGCUCAGGAUGAACGCUGGCGGCGUGCUUAACACAUGCAAGUCGAACGAAGCACUCAGGAGCGAUUUCGGUCAAUCCUGUUUGACUGAGUGGCGGACGGGUGAGUAACGCGUGAGUAACCUACCUCGCAGUGGGGAAUAACAGUUGGAAACGACUGCUAAUACCGCAUAAUGCAGAGAGACCGCAUGAUCUUUCUGCCAAAGAUUUAUCGCUGUGAGGUGGACUCGCGUCUGAUUAGCUAGUUGGUGAGGUAACGGCUCACCAAGGCGACGAUCAGUAGCCGGACUGAGAGGUUGACCGGCCACAUUGGGACUGAGACACGGCCCAGACUCCUACGGGAGGCAGCAGUGGGGAAUAUUGGGCAAUGGGCGCAAACCUGACCCAGCAACGCCGCGUGAAGGAAGAAGGCUUCGGGUUGUAAACUUCUUUUAACGGGGACGAGUAAUGACGGUACCUGUUGAAUAAGCUCCGGCUAACUACGUGCCAGCCGCCGCAGUAAU